rnacentral:rRNA from 1 species
UACGAAGUUAGCCGGGGCUUCUUCUCCGGUUACCGUCAUUAUCUUCACCGGUGAAAGAGCUUUACAACCCUAGGGCCUUCAUCACUCGCGCGGCAUGGCUGGAUCAGGCUUUCGCCCAUUGUCCAAUAUUCCCCACUGCUGCCUCCCGUAGGAGUCUGGGCCGUGUCUCAGUCCCAGUGUGGCUGAUCAUCCUCUCAGACCAGCUAUGGAUCGUCGCCUUGGUAGGCCAUUACCCCACCAACUAGCUAAUCCAACGCGGGCUCAUCCAUCACCGAUAAAUCUUUCUCCCGAAGGACGUAUACGGUAUUAGCUCCAGUUUCCCGGAGUUGUUCCGUAGUGAUGGGUAGAUUCCCACGCGUUACUCACCCGUCUGCCGCUCCCCUUGCGGGGCGCUCGACUUGCAUGUGUUAAGCCUGCCGCCAGCGUUCGUUCUGAGCCAGGAUCAAACUCU